rnacentral:rRNA from 1 species
GGUGCUGGAAAGAUUUAUCGGUGGGGGAUGGACUCGCGGCCUAUCAGUUUGUUGGUGAGGUAAUGGCUCACCAAGGCGAUGACGGGUAGCCGGCCUGAGAGGGCGACCGGCCACACUGGGACUGAGACACGGCCCAGACUCCUACGGGAGGCAGCAGUGGGGAAUAUUGCACAAUGGGCGCAAGCCUGAUGCAGCGACGCCGCGUGAGGGAUGACGGCCUUCGGGUUGUAAACCUCUUUCAGUAGGGAAGAAGCGAGAGUGACGGUACCUGCAGAAGAAGCGCCGGCUAACUACGUGCCAGCAGCCGCGGUAAUACGUAGGGCGCAAGCGUUGUCCGGAAUUAUUGGGCGUAAAGAGCUUGUAGGUGGCUUGUCGCGUCUGCCGUGAAAACCCGAGGCUCAACCUCGGGCGUGCGGUGGGUACGGGCAGGCUAGAGUGUGGUAGGGGAGACUGGAACUCCUGGUGUAGCGGUGAAAUGCGCAGAUAUCAGGAAGAACACCGAUGGCGAAGGCAGGUCUCUGGGCCAUUACUGACACUGAGAAGCGAAAGCAUGGGUAGCG